rnacentral:sRNA from 1 species
UGAAUCAACUAGCCCCA